rnacentral:rRNA from 1 species
CAGCGCCACAAGUGGGAAUCACUAUUAUUGGGCCUAAAGCGUUCGUAGCCUGUUUGGUAAAUCCUUUGUGAAAUCGCAGAGCUUAACUCUGCGGCGUGCAGGGGACACUGCCAAACUAGGGACCGGGAGGAGCUAGAGGUAUUCUUUGGGGAGCGGUAAAAUGCUAUAAUCCAAAGAGGACCACCUGUGGCGAAGGCGUCUAGCUAGAACGGAUCCGACGGUGAGGGACGAAAGCUAGGGGAGCGAUCCGGAUUAGAUACCCGAGUAGUCC